GGGCGUUGGAAAUUUGAGGAGCGCUGUCCCUAGUACGAGAGGACCAGGAUGGACGGACCUAUGGUGCACCAGUUGUUUCGCCAGAAGCAUCGCUGGGUAGCUAAGUCCGGAUCGGAUAAAAGCUGAAGGCAUCUAAGCGUGAAACCGACUCCAAGAGGAGAUUUCCCAAUCACUGGAUGAAGUAAGACCCCUCGAAGAAGACGAGGGUGAUAGGUCAGAGAUGUACGCAUAGUGAUAUGUUAAGUUGACUGAUACUAAUAGGUCGAGGAUUUUAUCAUA
rnacentral:rRNA from 1 species